AACGAACGCUGGCGGCAGGCUUAACACAUGCAAGUCGAGCGCCCCGCAAGGGGAGCGGCAGACGGGUGAGUAACGCGUGGGAACGUACCCUUUGCUACGGAAUAGCUCCGGGAAACUGGAAUUAAUACCGUAUGUGCCCUACGGGGGAAAGAUUUAUCGGCAAAGGAUCGGCCCGCGUUGGAUUAGCUAGUUGGUGGGGUAAUGGCCUACCAAGGCGACGAUCCAUAGCUGGUCUGAGAGGAUGAGCAGCCACAUUGGGACUGAGACACGGCCCAAACCCCUACGGGAGGCAGCAGUGGGGAAUAUUGGACAAUGCGCGCAAGCCUGAUCCAGCCAUGCCGCGUGAGUGAUGAAGGCCUUAGGGUUGUAAAGCUCUUUCACCGGAGAAGAUAAUGACGGUAUCCGGAGAAGAAGCCCCGGCUAACUUCGUGCCAGCCGCCGCAGUAAAAC
rnacentral:rRNA from 1 species